UACCUGCAGCUCGAGUGGUAACCGCUAUUAUUGGGCCUAAAGCGUCCGUAGCCGGUUUGGUAAAUAUCUGGGUAAAUCGUGAGGCUUAACUUCACGAAUUUCGGAUAGACUGCCAGACUUGGGAUCGGGGGAGGUCAGAGGUACUCCAGGGGUAGCGGUGAAAUGUUGUAAUCCUUGGAGGACCACCGGUAGCGAAGGCGUCUGACUAGAACGAGUCCGACGGUGAGGGACGAAGCCCUGGGGCGCAAACCGGAUUAGAUACCCGGGUAGUCCAGGGUGUAACGAUGUGGGCUUUGUAUUGGAGGUCCCACGUGGGCGUCCAGUGCAGAAGAGAAGUUGUUAAGCCCACCGCCUGGGAAGUACGGUCGCAAGGCUGAAACUUAAAGGAAUUGGCGGGGGAGCACAGCAACGGGAGGAGCGUGCGGUUU
rnacentral:rRNA from 1 species